rnacentral:misc_RNA from 1 species
CUAACCCUCCAGCCCGGCUGGUGUGUUGGGCCGUCGUCCCCUCCGGGGGACGGGCCCGAAAGGCAGCGGCGGCGCCGCGUCCGGUCCUCGAGCGUAUGGGGCUUUGUCACGCGCUCUAGUAGGCCCGGCCGGCUUGCUGGCCAACGACCUCACGGUCACCUAACUUCUCUCUUA